UACGUAGGUGGCAAGCGUUGUCCGGAUUUACAGGGCGUAAAGAGCGCGCAGGCGGUCGUUCAAGUCGCGUGUGAAAGCCCCCGGCUCAACUGGGGAGGGUCACGCGAUACUGAUCGACUCGAAGGCAGGAGAGGGAAGUGGAAUUCCCGGUGUAGUGGUGAAAUGCGUAGAUAUCGGGAGGAACACCAGUGGCGAAGGCGACUUCCUGGCCUGUUCUUGACGCUGAGGCGCGAAAGCUAGGGGAGCAAACGGG
rnacentral:rRNA from 1 species